rnacentral:tRNA from 1 species
GCCCAGGUGGCGGAAUUGGUAGACGCGCUAGUUUCAGGUAUUAGUGACUUCGGUCGUGGAGGUUCAAGUCCUCUCCUGGGCACCA